rnacentral:rRNA from 1 species
UUUUUGCAAGCUGGCGGCGUGCCNUAAUAAUGCAAGUACAACGCUGAAGUCUGGUGCUUGCACCGGAUGGAUGAGUUGCGAACGGGUGAGUAACGCGUAGGUAACCUGCCUGGUAGCGGGGGAUAACUAUUGGGAACGAUAGCUAAUACCGCAUAAUAGCUUUUCUCGCAUGAGAGGAGCUUGAAAGAAACAAUUGUUUCACUAUCAGAUGGACCUGCGUUGCAUUAGCUAGUUGGUGGGGUAACGGCUCACCAAGGCGACGAUGCAUAGCCGACCUGAGAGGGUGAUCGGCCACACUGGGACUGAGACACGGCCCAGACUCCUACGGGAGGCAGCAGUAGGGAAUCUUCGGCAAUGGGGGCAACCCUGACCGAGCAACGCCGCGUGAGUGAAGAAGGUUUUCGGAUCGUAAAGCUCUGUUGUAAGUCAAGAAUAGGUGUGGGAGUGGAAAGUCCACACUAUGACGGUAGCUUACCAGAAAGGGACGGCUAACUACGUGCCAGCAGCCGCGGUAAU